GACGAACGCUGGCGGCGUGCUUAACACAUGCAAGUCGAACGGAAAGGCCCUGCUUUUGUGGGGUUCUCGAGUGGCGAACGGGUGAGUAACACGUGAGUAACCUGCCCUUGACUUUGGGAUAACUUCAGGAAACUGGGGCUAAUACCGGAUAGGAGCUCCUGCUGCAUGGUGGGGGUUGGAAAGUUUCGGCGGUUGGGGAUGGACUCGCGGCUUAUCAGCUUGUUGGUGGGGUAGUGGCUUACCAAGGCUUUGACGGGUAGCCGGCCUGAGAGGGUGACCGGCCACAUUGGGACUGAGAUACGGCCCAGACUCCUACGGGAGGCAGCAGUGGGGAAUAUUGCACAAUGGGCGGAAGCCUGAUGCAGCAACGCCGCGUGCGGGAUGACGGCCUUCGGGUUGUAAACCGCUUUCGACUGUGACGAAGCGUGAGUGACGGUAAUGGGUAAAGAAGCACCGGCUAACUACGUG
rnacentral:rRNA from 1 species